UGAUCUGUUCAUCCCCAGCCUGUGCCAGUGCUGGAGGUUGUCCUGACCCAGCUGCAGCACCUUGAACCUGACCUUGUUAAAGCUCAUGACAUGGGCCUACUUCUGGAGCUUGUGUAGGUGCUUCUGGUUGGCAUCCUGUCCUUUAGAAAUGUCAGCUUCAUCACUCGGUUUGGUGUCAUCUGCAAAUUUGAUGUGGGUGCACUUCAUCUAUGAAAUAACAUUCCUCCCAGUACAGACCCCCCAGGAAUACCACUGGUCACUGAUAUCCAUUAGAACUCUGAUUUGCUGAUCACUACCCUAUGGAUGCCACCAGUUUUUUAUCCAUGUAACAGUUCACCCAUCAAAUCCAUCUCUCUCCAAUUUAGAGAGAAGGAUGUGAAGGACCAUGUCAAAGUCCUGAUAAAUGACAUCUGCUGCCCUUCCCUUGUCCACUGGUGGAAUCACUCCAUCAUAAAAGGCCUGCAAGUUGGUCAUGCAGGACUUGUCCUGGUUAAAGUCCUGCUGGGUUUCCCAAAUCACUUCCUGUCCUCCAUGUGCCUUAGCCUUCCAGCAGGAUCUGUUCCAUGAUCUUCCCAGGCACAGAGGUGAUGCUCACAGUUGUUCCAGGGGUUCUCCUGUCUACCAUUUUUAACGAUGAGUACAAUGCUUUCCCUUUUCCAGUCACCUGGGAUUUCACCUGGCAGUCACAGCUUUUCAAAUGUCAUGGAGAGUGGUUUGGCAACUACAUCUGGUGGUUCCUUCAGGACUCUAGGAUGCAUCUCUUUGGCUCCUAUGCAGUUUUGACCUCUACAGUGCAUGACAAACUGCUGGAGCAAGUUCAGUGGAGAACCAUGUGGGUGGUUAGGGGUAUGUGCACUUUUCCUGUGCAGAGAAGGCUGAGGGAGCAGGGCUUACUCUGCCUCAAGAAAAGAAAGUUUCCAGGAGAUCUCACAGCACUCCCAUAGUACUGACACAGGGGUUUUAAAGAGGAUGGACUAAUGUUCUUUACAGGAGUGCACACUGUGAGGACAAGAGACAAAGGGCAGAACUUCAAACUAGGUGUUCAGGCUAGAUUUGAGGAGCAACCUCUUUACCCUAAAAGCAGGCAAGCAGAGGAGCAGGUUAAGUGAACGUGUCCUGCCUUUCUUUUCAACAUUGCCUGUCCUCUUGAAACGUGUUUCUUUUGUAUUGAAUUAAUAGUUCUUCCCCUCUUAAGAAUGAGAGGCCCAAGAUUUGGAAAGCUGAAGGUCAUGUGAAAAAGUCUUUCCUGCAAUCUGGGAAACUGCUUUAUAAUCGUUCAGAAUUUAAUUGUUUCAAAAGCCUGAGGAAGUAAUCAAUUAAUCUUUUUACAAAAAGGUGAGAAUGCAUUCAGUUAACAAAUAAUGACAUACACUACUGAAUCACUUACCAGGGCAGGUAGUUACAGGGUGUCUUUGAUGGAAGACUGUAGAAUGGUAGUUUUUAUAGUUGAGAUGUAAGUGAGAGAUUUUGGCUGUUUUUUAACAACUGACUCUCCAUAUAUGUAUUUAUAAGUUGUAACGCAGGGGCAAGACUAAACUUUUUGUGCUUUAACUUCCCUUUGUGCUUUAACUUAUCCUUGAGCAACCUGUAUAACCAGUCAAAACAACCUAAACCAUCCAGUGGUUGUCUUCAGCCAAGUCUGCCAAAACAUCUGCUGCCAGCAGCCAUGGAGUAUGGCAGCAGUUGAAGGCUAACCAUCCUUUCCAUUUCAUGUGUAUAGCAUACCUGCUGCUGUAGACAGCAGAAAAAAAAUGAGGUUAAGAAUUAUUACUGGAGCUGUCACAUUCACAAAUGUGAUAACUCAUUAGAAGUGAUUUUUUCCUCAGGCAGGAGUUGUUGCUUGGCAGGCUGGUAACUGAAAGAUGAAACAAACAGGAUAAAACUACCACUUCUUAGGUAUACCUUCAUAUUUUUUUUUAAUAAAGAAGUGCCUCACAGAUGAAAACAAAAGAAAAAACUUUGAGCAUUCAUUGUCUUUGUUUUAACAAGAUUAUUAAGACAAAAUUAGAAAAAAAAGUAAGACCUCGGAAAAGAAAAUUUAGUUAUUUUUAUAGCCUGAUAAACAUUUUGUGGCACUUUGGAUUUUAUAACCUCAUUAAACUCAAGUUAUGCAACUCCAGGGCAGGCAGGACAGGAAAACUGUAAUUUUUACAAGUUUCUUGGCUUGGUAGAGGUGUAUUCAGUAAAUGGAGCAAGCUUUGCACCUUGGAUUUUCUGAACUUUUUGUAACCUUCUUGUGCUCUUUAUAUCUAGGGAGAAAACAUACUGUGACAGAUAGAAAGCCUUGGAUACAACUGAGAAAUAAAAGUUCUGGUACAUCAUCCCAAAUUUAUGUACAAGAUUAAAUAAGUUUGAUGUGGUGUCAAUAUUGCAUCAUGUUUUUAUAGUUUAAGGAAUACAAUUAAUUAUACCAGAGUUCUCUUGACACUCAGUAUGAUGAAAUUCAGUUGUUCAAUUCUUUCAUGAAGCAAUUUUUUGCAAGCAAGCUUCAGAACAGCUGACAAUAAAUAAUCAUGUCAGAUCCAGGUGGGAUCCAGAGAGGAUUUUAUAAGACUGUGUGAAUAUGGAAAUAGUGGUUGAAAAGCAGAUGGUGUGGUGCUGGUUUUUAGUGGACUGUCCUGGCCUUCCCAUUCCUGGUUUCUCCGAGAGCUAUGAAUAAUUUCAUCCAUCCACCCACAUGAUGGGAGUGGGAGUCAUGAGCUUCCCAAAUGCUAGAUAAUCUUGCUAAAUUUCUGUUUCUGUAAAAUGUAUUCUUUACCUGUUGGUGAAGAGUGAAAGUGUGUAAUCCAGUGGUACCUACCCCACAGAGCCAUAAGCAAAAGCCUUUCUAGAUUACUUGUUGACCUCUAUUUUCUGAAAUGCCUUCAUUACCACAAGAAACUGGAAGAGAGUAAUGACACAAACCAUGUGUGGAGGUUGAAAAGGAAAGUGUAAAAUAAAUUAUGACUUCUAAGAACCAAGAAUUUAAGACACAGGAGUUGCUUUGAACCUGCCCUCCUGUUGGCAACCAGCAGGGAAGAAGAGCUACAGGAAGGUUUGUUUCACUUGAUUUAAACCAGCACAUCAAUAUUUGGAAAUUGAGGGAUAAUGCUGUUUUGGCUCAUGAAAGGAAGUGGUUCAUGAAGUAUCACCUUCAAGAGAGGUUUCAGAUUUUCAGUUUUUUCACCUCUCCAAGUUAGUGAUAUCUGAAUCAAAAGUAAAUCCUGAUGUUCAUUUAAAUAGGAUACCUUUCUUUUUUUCCCCAAAUCUCACAGCUGAAGAGACAACUAAAGUAUUAGAUUAUGUUUGUGUGCUCUUUGUCUUGCAAUGGAAAACAAAAGAGAAAUUCUAUUUCUUAUACACACACUACAAAAAUAAAAAGACUAUUGCACCUGAGUUCCUUCAGUUCAUACCUACUUGACCAAAAGGAGUCAUUCUCCUGUUGGCAGGAGUCACAAGAUCCCAACAUUUCCAUUUUGGGGAUUUCAACCUUCUCACCUUGUGAGUCCAAACCUACUACAGAGUCAUCAAAGCCUUUUAGCUGUUUUACCUCUUAAGCAGCUGUUGCAGAUAAAUUCUUAAAAUAAAGCAUCACUGUGGAAUUAAA